rnacentral:rRNA from 1 species
UUCGCAAUGCCCGAAAGGGUGACGAAGCGACGCCGCGUGGGUGAGGAAGGCCUUCGGGUUGUAAAGCCCUGUCAGGAGUUAAGAAAUAUAAGUGCGCUAAUAUCGCAUUUAUUUGACGAAGGCUCCAAAGGAAGCCACGGCUAACUCUGUGCCAGCAGCCGCGGUAAUACAGAGGUGGCAAGCGUUGUUCGGAAUUAUUGGGCGUAAAGAGCACGUAGGUGGGUUUGUAAGUCAGAUGUGAAAGCCUUCUGUUCAACGGAAGAAUUGCAUCUGAAACUGCGAGUCUUGAGUGUAGGAGGGGAGAAUGGAACUUCUGGUGGAGCGGUAAAAUGCGUAGAUAUCAGAAGGAACGCCGGCGGCGAAAGCGAUUCUCUGGCCUAUUACUGACACUCAGUGUGCGAAAGCUAGGGGAGCAAACGGGAUUAGAUACCCCGGUAGUCCUAGCCGUAAACGAUGGGCACUAAGUAGAGGGGUUUU